GAUGAACGCUAGCGGCAGGCUUAACACAUGCAAGUCGAGGGGCAGCGCGGGAUAGCAAUAUCCUGGCGGCGACCGGCGGAAGGGUGCGUAACGCGUGAGCGACAUGCCCGUUGCCCGGGGACAACCGGUGGAAACGCCGACUAAUCCCCGAUGGGAUAUUGUGCCGCAUGGCACGAUAUUGAAAGUUACGGCGGCGACGGAUUGGCUCGCGUCCGAUUAGCUUGUUGGCGGGGUAACGGCCCACCAAGGCUGCGAUCGGUAGGGGUUCUGAGAGGAAGGCCCCCCACAAUGGGACUGAGACACGGCCCAUACUCCUACGGGAGGCAGCAGUGAGGAAUAUUGGACAAUGGGCGGAAGCCUGAACCAGCCAUGCCGCGUGCGGGAAGGAGGCCCUAUGGGCUGUGAACCGCUUUUGCCUGGGGGCAAUAAGGGCGUCGCGCACGUCCGAUGAGAGUACCAGGCGAAUAAGCAUCGGCUAACUCCGUG
rnacentral:rRNA from 1 species